GGCGAACGCUGGCGGCAGGCCUAACACAUGCAAGUCGAACGGACCCUUCGGGGUUAGUGGCGGACGGGUGAGUAACACGUGGGAACGUGCCUUUAGGUUCGGAAUAGCUCCUGGAAACGGGUGGUAAUGCCGAAUGUGCCCUUCGGGGAAAAGAUUUAUCGCCUUUAGAGCGGCCCGCGUCUGAUUAGCUAGUUGGUGAGGUAACGGCUCACCAAGGCGACGAUCAGUAGCUGGUCUGAGAGGAUGACCAGCCACACUGGGACUGAGACACGGCCCAGACUCCUACGGGAGGCAGCAGUGGGGAAUCUUGCGCAAUGGGCGAAAGCCUGACGCAGCCAUGCCGCGUGAAUGAUGAAGGUCUUAGGAUUGUAAAAUUCCUUCACCGGGGACGAUAAUGACGGUACCCGGAGAAGAAGCCCCGGCUAACUUCGUG
rnacentral:rRNA from 1 species